ensembl:snRNA LOC120093902 U6 spliceosomal RNA
AUGCUCACUUUGGCAACACAUAUACUAAAACUUGGAAGGAUACAGAGAAGAUUAGCAUGGCCCCUGUGUAAGGAUGACACACAAAUUUGUGAAUCGUUCCUUAUUUUU